CUCUUAGCAGAGUCCUUAGCAGAGUUCUGCAGCGGUAGAAAGUGUUGCCUUGUGUGUGGAUAAUAAAUCAGACUGAAUGCAGGCUUCUUGCUAAUCUCCAACAGCCUUUAAUGAGAAGAAAAACAUCAUAAAUCAGCCCCGCAAGAGAGCGGACAUCCUUUCGUCUCUCAGCCAAAAACGAAAGGAAAACUCACACACAAAGAAAGAUUCCCGUAUGUGAACCAAACCACGCCUCAGAAUGUGAGACGUCACACAGAACUGUUUAACCCUGUAAGUUCUGAUUCUCCUCACAGGUAAUUAUCCCUGUUGAACCCCGCAGGGAUGGGGCGGAUGUGCCUUCACCCGCACGCCGUCCGAUAUCUGCCGCACGCUACAGUGGAGGCAGGGGCGCUGGGUGUUUAGCAUUGCACGAAUUGGAAAAUCUCCAAUGCCAACGCCAUGAGCGGGAGCAUUCCUGUUUUUCAACAAAGAUUUGAAUUUGGACUUUGAAAGGACUUUUGUCGCUCUGCUACAGAAGAUGUGAAGUGAGCGUCUCAUCUUUGCUUAUACUUGCUACUGUUGGGCCAAUGCCCUCCCUCAUUUGUCCGAAUGGUGAGGAACUUCGCCCGUAGUAGCAGAGUACAGCAGAAGCAGACUCUGGCUGGAAAGCAGCAUCGAGAAGAUAAGAAGGCAACAGAGCGACGAGCUGACUCACGCAGCCGUAUCCUUCAGCAAAAGCCAGAUGCAAGGACCAGAGGGGAGGAGGAGGAGAUAUAGAAAUCGCUCCCGUUCUCACACGAUGAUACAUUAGGUAAUUAGGCAAUUAAAGGCACAGUGUCACACUGUGCAAUGAAAGAAUGAAACACUGCAGUACUGCCAGCUACUUCAUGAUUUGGCAAGCCUCAUGGAGAAAGAUUCAAUUAAUUAAAUGGAAUGCAAGUGAAUCUUCCUAAAAAAAACUUGAGAAUUUGAUGUUUAAUGGUGCGGUCCUUUGUGGAGGGCUCUAAUUAUUAUUGGCAAGGUAUCAGCUUGUUUGAAGAUAUGGA